ACCACUGAGAAAACAGAAUGCGACUUUUGGUAAUACCCAUAUAAAACGGAGGCUUUGUUGGAGCUCUCCCUCUCUUUUCUCCCGGUGAGCCGCCAGGUAACGUCGUGGGCCAUGGCAGGGCCCGGCUUAGGCCCGCUCCGCCUUGGGCGGCCGGGCCCGGCCCAGCCGGGUCUCUGUGAGCCGCUGCCGCAGGGAGCGGCCCGGGCAGCCGAGCCCAGCUCCUCUUCUCUCCCGGCUGCCGCAGGGAGCGGCCCGGGCAGCCGAGCCCAGCUCCUCUUCUCUCCCGGCUGCCGCAGGGAGCGGCCCGGGCAGCCGAGCCCAGCUCCUCUUCUCUCCCGGCUGCCGCAGGGAGCGGCCCGGGCAGCCGAGCCCAGCUCCUCUUCUCUCCCGGCUGCCGCAGGGAGCGGCCCGGGCAGCCGAGCCCAGCUCCUCUUCUCUCCCGGCUGCCGGCGGGGGACACGGGGGGCUCUGGCUCCGCAGGGCUGGCCGCAGGCUGGAUCAGAUCGAGGGGUGGGUAAGAAAGCAUCCACCCGCCUCCUCUACCGGCAGGGCUUUGAGAUCUUUGCAGCUGCCGCCCGGCGAGAACCACACGAGCACCGCAGGCCUGGGCAAGCUUCAACUCUUUCCUGCCGGCAAAUGGAACUCCCAGAGCACCAGCCCUUCCUGAGCCUCAGGAAGGAGCUGCAGUUGUUGUCCCUCCAGAGUGGGGUACAAGGGCCACAGCUGUCCCAGUUUGGGAGACAGGUGCCUUGCAGACAGGAUGACAAGGCAGCAUGAUGACACAGAUGAUUCUACCUAACUUGACAAGCCCAGCCUCUCCCAGCCAGUGAUGCAUCCCACACAGCGCUGAAGAUGGAACAUUCCUGUGGAGGAGCUGUCAAACGGGAUUACCAACAAUACAGGAGAAAGAAUUACAGAAGACCUCACCCCUGAGAAGUCACAGCUGUGUUUUGAGAGAGAGGAAAGAAUGGGUUUGCUGGUGAGGAGAAGAGCCUGAGGAAGACAGAACUGUCCAAGUACUGAAGGAAUGAUUUGGAAAGACUAGAGGACUGACCAAAUCAGUCAAAGAGAGAGAGGGAGAGACUUGCUGCUGUGAGGAAUCUGCUGUGUGCUCAGUCUGGGGCUGCAGCUGGACCUUGCAGUUGGAGCUUGCAGUCACAGGUGAGCUAGGUGAAAGCCUACUGCCAGAGGCUGCAAGGAAACACUUGUAGUCAUAUUCUAGCAGGAAAUACCCAGCAGUCAGAGUCUGCAAAGACACCUACAGUGGGAGUUUACUGCAGUAAAAGCCAGUGAGUAGUUAGAGUGAGGAUGGCUGAGUUAUUAGGAAGAAUAACCCAGGACCUUUGCAUAUGAUUGGAUAAGAGUCUGUGUCCUGAUCCAUUUCUAUCUCAAACGCGAGGUUUGCUGGGACAACUUUAAUUGCAUAGUGUGAAUUGACUGAUUUCAUCAUAGGCGUUAUUCAUAAGUUAAUAUUCUUGUACUUGUAGCUGGGUUUUCAUAUGCUCUACCAUUUCUUUGUGUCAUUAUCUACAAGACACGCGUUGUUUCAGGAUCUUUCUUCUUUUGUUCUCUCGUUGCUUAUGCAUCUCUUAGGCCAGACUGGCUCUGACUGGGCCCUCCACUGGCUCUGUGGUUUGACCCAGUGCUGUCUCAUGACUUUGAAGUAUUUUUCAGAGUUCCAAGAAACAAUAUCUGAGCUUCGUCCAAAGCCUCCUCUGCACUGAUGGUAUUGUGACCUUUACUCUUGCUAAUCAGAUGCAUUCCCAGUGAUUAUUACAGAAGCACUCCCAACAGUUUGCUGUGUUUAAAGCAUCUCUUUCCUGAGAAAUUUUGGAGGGAACAGCUACUGGGUGAUCAGUCUUUAACCCCAAGACCUUUAUUCAUAACUGCUAUUCUUAAGAGCCUUGUUUUAAAACAUGCUUAGGGAAUUCUCUGCCAGGUAAAGCUUGGGUGGUAGCCAGGCCUUAGCUUUACUGGGAUGGGGAUUUGCCAACAAACCCAGAUGUUUUCUGCAUCAAAACUACAUUUGAAUCCCUUUGACCUGGCAAUUGGAAUUUCCAAACCUUACAGCUGGACCUAUUUUUAAAAUGAGCUUGGGAAUUAUUAUCUGGAAAUAAUUAUCCAAGUCCUUACUUGUCGGAGUCCAGGGCAUCUCUCUGAUCACCCUGAAGGAUCUGGGACCUGAGCAGGAGGUUUGGAACCUGUACAGAGGGGUUUGGAGUCUGUACAGGAGGGCUGGAAACCUUGGCACAGACUCCAGGACGAAUUACAAGCCUCAAGAGUGUGAAAUUAGUAGUAGUUAGUUUAUGACAGGGUGAAAAAGUAGAAUUUGGGGUUUCUUAGAAUGGAGGCUGAAGAGCCCAGAUGGAGUAAUCCAGCCAUGGACCUGUUCUUCUUCCUUCUUGUUCUUGCCCUCCAUCUUCUGCAGUGCUGGGUCACAAGGGAUUGGUUUAGAGUAGAGGUGACAUGCUUAGCAUAAGUGAUAGGUAUUGAAAAUUAAUUUUAAAUAAAGAAUACGGUGUGGACAAGGGUUGGGCUGGAGGAAUGGUACAAAAGGGCUGAGACCUCCCGACCUGGGGGGAGUCCCCUCGUGUUCUCUGCUGCAGCAAGAACCUUGGCGGAGCGCAGAAAGAACUAUGAGAUAAAAAAGAAUAAACAACCUUGGAAAACCUGAACUGGCAACUCCUGACUUCUGCUUCUGGCACGAGGUGUUUCAGAGGGCAAAAGACACUUUAUCACCGAAUCUCAGGGACGACAAUCUGAGACUCACUGAAUCAAAGUUUGUCAGCUGUUUGCCAACUCUGGGGUGAUGGGAUGACACUGAGAUUUUGGCGCUUCUUCAUUGAAGACCAAAAGCUGGGUAGUUGUAAAAGUAAAGUCUUUUAUUGCACGGCUAAACCAGUCUCAUGAAGGCAAAGGUGUUACAGUUUGUGCCAGUAUGCAGAAAGCCUUCUAGCACAAAGUCCCCAUGUCCCAAGCACAAGUGGCAGCAUCUUAGCAGCAGCAGUGACUGCACCUGUAAUCUGUUUUCCAUGAGCGUGCUAGCAUUCUUAAAGCAGUGCAUUUUAUUCUAUUUUGAACCAAGCGGAUAGAAACACGAGUCUACUAUUGCCUUGCUGGACCUAUCCUAAACUAAGACUGAUGUACAAAAGUAAUUGUAAUUUCUUACACUAAUUCCACAUAUAUAACUCUAUCUUGUUCUAUCUAGGAAUGCUAGCAAGGCUAUUUUGCUUGUAUUAUCUCUAGAGUUUAGUCAACUUCGGAAUAGGUAAAACUACUGAACUUUCAACUAGGUUUUAGGUCCUUUUCUUACGAACUAAUUCAGCCUCUUAUUUGCUUAAGGCACUUCAAAAAUUCUCUACUUAUUUAAAACUAAACUUGCAUUUCUACCUCAUGUCUGUGUGCCUUUAUGUCUUUUAGUUUCUCUGAAGGUUGUAAUUCAGCCCUCACAUCUUUGAGCACCCCUGGGUCUGUGUGGAUGGGGCCCAGAGGGAUUUUGCAUCCUGACAAUGGUGCACUAUCUUAGAGAUUACUAAUUACCCCAUUUCACAUCUGUUCAUACUUAUAUCUAUGAUCUGAAAUAUUCCUGAUUGUUGGAUCUGUAUUAUUCCUUGUUGCGGUAAACUUCUGCUUUCACUCUAUUGUUUUCUUUUGAUGUUCCCUUCACGUUCAUAGCAAGAAACAUGCAUGCUGUUUUUGAAACAAAAAGAAGGGGGAAUUAGCUCAUAAAGGAUGUCUGAACCAUGCUGUAUUUAUACAAUUCUUUUUUUUUCAAAUUUUUUAGUAAAGAUCCUCAGUUGAAUGUGCAAGGCCUGACUCAUUCCCUAGCUGAAAGAGAAGAGAGUGCGUGUGUUUUUAUCAUCAGCAGGUUCAAAGCAGUCACCUGUUCAUUUGAUCAGACAUCAAUUGCCUCUGAGAAAAUGAGGCCCAGUGAGAAGGGAAAUGACUUAAUCACCACGCAGCCUUCGUAACCAGAACAGGAGCUAAAGUGGGAUGCCAGAGCAUGGCUGUGUCUGGAGACUUGCAGAGGCAACCUGCCAACACAGGCCUCAUGUCAUUAUCAUGGUAUUGUGUUCCUACUCAUCUUCUUCAGCUAUGCCCUGUUCCAGGCUCCCAAAAAGGACAUUCAGUGAAGUCAAGGUCAUCGCUUCCAGCUGAUGCAUUUCACCUGACCUAAAUGGCACAAUUGCUGAGUCUCAGCUAUAUGGACUUUGGAACAAUGGUCAAUUAUUUCUAUUUCCUUAAGAGACCCUGGACAUUCUCUUUUACUUUCCUAUGUAGCGAAACCUUGUGUCAAUGCCAGGAUUGGAUUUCAUAAGUUUGGUGUGACACCGAGGCCAGAGAAUCCCAGGCAGCUCCCACCCCAGCCCCGUGCCAAGAGUGGCUGCCCCGAACUGCUGGCAGUGCGAGUGGCAGUGCAGAGCAAAGCUGCUCUCUGCAGCUCCUGUGUAUCGUCGGCAUCUAGGCUCAAAGCAAGAGUCAGAGAAGGCUCUCUGAGAGAUCUUCACUCUCCAAAGGAUGGUGCAAGAGAGAGAGAGAGAACUGGGUCCCACGCUUAACUUUUAACCCGGGGGCAGAGGGCUGGGGCAGGUACGUGAAUGGCUCCAGGCUGAGACAGGGCAGGGUCAGGAGAAGGGCACAAAGGGACAGGGGAGGGGAAAACCUGGGGUAAAACCAAAACAAACCAAACACUGCAGGGAUAACCAGAACAAACCAUUGAGAGGACAACUUAGCAAAAACUUACCAAAAACCCACCACCACAUUGGUGGAUUAUAAUUAGUCUUUUAUGUUUCUUAUCCCAUUCCAAAUAGAUAACCGGUAAUAGACACAAAAGAAUGCAAAUUGUUUUAAGAUUAGAACAUUUAAGCCUUUUUUAAAAUAUUGAAACAGCAGAGAUGUUGCAGAAAGGUAAAAGACGUUAUAAAGGAAAGGUCUUAUGAAACAUAGAUUAGGCCCUGCUACUUUAGCAAAUCAGCUAGCAAUAGCUUGCAAGUUCCAAAUUGAAAACUAUUUUGAGAAUGAGAAGUUUGUUAACACAAAAACCUAUUUUUGGGGAAACAAAUAAGUGCACCUGCCUAAAUAUUAGAUCUGUUCCAUGAGAACCCAUAAAAGAAAAAAUGUAAACCACCUGAAUCUUAGCACAUACACACAAAUGACCUUCUGACCAAUAGAUGAAGUAGCAAGAAAACUACCAGGCCAGUGGGUGUUGUGAACGAGGUCUGUGAAAACUGUACAAAAUACAGCCAGCCCAUUUCUAGGAAAACACCCCUGACUGCCAUCUCUGCAAAUGCAAUUCCCACUUUCCAAUUCCCUCUUCUGCAGCCAGGCCAGCAAAGUAGUCACUGCCAGCGCCAGAAACCAACUGCAUACAGCAGUCACAACCCUGAAAUAUCAACUUCCUUACUUCACCUGCCCACUGGGAGCUCCCACAGAGAGACCUUUUGUCCAAGGAUACCCACUGAAGAGCUCGAGGAGGGAGCAGUUUGAAACACAGCUCCUCCAGAGUUUAAACCUCCCUUUAUCAAAUGAGCACACACCAGCCUGUGCCAAAGGGAAAGCAGGCAGGAAAGAGAAGCUCCUCUCCCACAGCACUAAGCUCUGUGCUCCCUUCUUUUCUAGCUGGAGAGCAGAGGCCAUGGGCUAGUCCUCAAUUUGGGAAGGAUCCCUGGGAAAUGGCCUGAUCUGGGAGCCCAGCAGAGAGAAGUUCCCAAAAGGUAGGAAAAGAUUCUCUGGAAGCAAUAGAUUAUGACAAUACUACUGCAGGGGAA